GCAAACAUGGGCUCGCCCAUAUGUGAGGGGAGCGGCUGGACUGCUGGAAAGGAGGCUGCUUUGUAAACUCUGAAAGACACCAACCAACCAGUCCCGAGAAAUACACCUGCACUCAAGCCACCAGAUCCACGAAACCAAGCAACCAUCAAAAAGGGGAAAAUAACAUUUUCUCUAGAAACCUCAUCUGAGAGAGUGGAGCCAGAGUUCAGUUAUAUCUGAUUUUCAUUUCUUUACAGGGUUAAAAGGAAAUAAAUGACUAUUGUGGUGAACAUACCUGCCUUUAUGGCAAUGAGGGCACCUACCACAAUUACACCACCAGCUACAGCUACAACACGGCCCUCUUCAGAGAGAGACGGUAACACAGAUCUGUUCAGCAAGAACAAGAUGGCCUAAUAGAAUGAAAUCCUUCCCAAGGUCCAAGAUCCAACCUAGCCCCUUUCCCCUGAGGCCAUUCCUGAUGCUCCCACAUGG